rnacentral:misc_RNA from 1 species
GAUGAAGAACGUAGUGAAAUGCGAUAAGUAAUGUGAAUUGCAGAAUUCAGUGAAUCAUCGAAUCUUUGAACGCACAUUGCGCCCCUUGGUAUUCCGAGGGGCAUGCCUGUUCGAGCGUCAUUAUAACCCCUCAAGCUCAGCUUGGUGUUGGGGCCUGCUGCACUGGCAGCCCUUAAAAUCAGUGGCGGCGCCAUCUGGCUCUAAGCGUAGUAAUUCUUCUCGCUAUGGAGUCCUGGUGGAUGCUUGCCAUCAACCCCCAAUUUUUCUAUGGUUGACCUCGGAUCAGGUAGGGAUACCCGCUGAACUUAAGCAUAUUCAAUAAGCGGAGGA